rnacentral:rRNA from 1 species
AUCGGGCGAAACCCUGAUGCAGCGACGCCGCGUGAGUGAAGAAGGUCUUCGGAUCGUAAAACUCUGUCCUUGGUGACGAAAAAAUGACGGUAGCCAAGGAGGAAGCCCCGGCUAACUACGUGCCAGCAGCCGCGGUAAUACGUAGGGGGCGAGCGUUGUCCGGAUUUACUGGGCGUAAAGGGUGAGUAGGCGGUUGCAUGUGUCAGAUGUAAAAGGCUAUGGCUUAACCAUAGUUAGCAUUUGAAACUGUGCGACUUGAGUGCAGGAGAGGUAAGUGGAAUUCCUAGUGUAGCGGUGAAAUGCGUAGAUAUUAGGAGGAACACCAGUGGCGAAGGCGACUUACUGGACUGUAACUGACGCUGAGUCACGAAAGCGUGGGUAGCAAACAGGAUUAGAUACCCUGGUAGUCCACGCUGUAAACGAUGAGUGCUAGGUGUUGGCCAGCGAUGGUCAGUGCCGAAGUAAACACAAUAAGCACUCCGCCUGGGGAGUAC